GUCUGUAAUAAAGUGGUCAGUACAUCACCUUGUGGCGGUGAACGCCCUGGUUCGAAUCCGGUCGACA